UCAUGAAUAAAAUAAAUUUAAAAACCUUUAAAAAAAAAGGUUUUUUCUGCACAACUACGGGCAGAGGGGAGCGGUGGCAGGGGGGAAUGCCAUCCACUUUGAAGUCAAUGCCAGUGGUGCCCCCUGGACUUGAGCACAAGCAGUUACACCAUAAUGUCAUGUGACAAGCUGUGGUCCCUAACCUGGGCCUAAUUUCCCCCAUCGAUCAUUUUCCUCCUACCGUACCUGAGGUCUGUCAUCAAUGACCAAUGUACGAAAAGCCCAAUGGAAUCAAGUGUUUUUGUUCAGCUGUUCAAGUUAAGUUCACUGAAAUUACAUGAUGAACCUGGGCUUUCAGAAGAAUUCUGGGCAAAAGGAAAUUAGGAAGAAGAAAGCCUAUAUGCACAUAUGACUCAUGUUGGAGGCAUGUUGGAGGGCUGUCUAAUCUCUUCCCACUCAUCACUGUUAGCAACGUCAUGCUCGUUUAGCUGGGCACAUAUGGUUUUCUGGUCAUGUGGCCCAUUGCUGGGAAGAGCUGUGGAUGCUGCUACUCUAGGGCUUCAGUGCGAGUGAGGCAUGUUCCACAGAAUUCACCAGAAGCUUGAGACUGACUCACCCCUUACAGCCUGAGAAGUCUAGCGCAAGAAAACAAAAGAUCUCUCCAGGCCUCCCCCAGGGACUCCAAGGCAGCCCAGAUAUUACCAUGGUCCCUGAAGAAUGACUUGGACACAGCUCUACCUGGGGCUCCAGGACAGGAGUCUGACACAGUGCUCCCGGGCUGUAGGCAGCAGAAUGACAACAUGAGUUCCCUGCUUGCUUCUUGUCAGUUCCAGUAACCACAGCUUGUGAGCAUCCUUCCCCAAGUCAACCAAAGGUUUUCACAUAUCCUUGAUGAAAAUGAUGACUAUUCCAGCAGAAAUGCUAAUGGAUAGAAAUGAUUAGAACUCACUUUUGUGACGUCCAAUGCAGGCACCUGAAGCCCACAGCAGAAACAGCAAUUUUGAAAGACAAAAAAUGCUAAUGGAUAGAAAUGAUUAGAACUCACUUUUGUGACGUCCAAUGCAGGCACCUGAAGCCCACAGCAGAAACAGCAAUUUUGAAAGACAAAUAAUUUUGACUUAAAAUGUCUGGAUUCUGCCAAGAGAAAAGGUCCUUAAAAAUUAAGAGUCAGGGCCCCAAGACAGUAUGGUGGAGAAUGAUCUAACUCUAGGGCACAUCAGAAUCGCCUAGAGUACCUAUGAAAACACAGGUUGCUGGCAACCACCCUGUGUUACUGAUUCCGUAGGUCCGGGAUGAGUAGUAUCUGUACUGUUAGGACCCUCCUGGGUGACAUUGUUGCUGCUGCUCCAGGGAUCACACUUUGAAAUCCAUCUUGACAGUGAACUGGAAAGAAGAUGAUCCAGGUUCAGGUCUAGGAGAAACUAAGUGACCCCCACCUGGGCUGGGAAGAAAGGUGGGGAUGAACUAGAAGGGUCACACCUGGGCAAUAGCAGGGCUUGCUGAGAAGAGGGACUGGACUCAGGGGGUACUUUGGGCAAAGUGGAGUCAACACUGAGAAACUUUUCAUCAUCAUCCACCAAAAGCAUCAGGGGGGCUAGGAGAGAGCUAAGCCAAUGUCUGCAGAUCACCUGCUACCAUUUGAGCAAGCACUGCACAUCACUUGUGCAAAGGAUCCCGUUAACUGUUCUUCCCAUUGCUGCCCAGUUAGGACCCUCUACUGACUGCUACAUGCAUGACACCUUAAGACAGUCUGCUUUUCCCUGGACCAUCUGUAUUAGUUUUCUAGAGAAACCCUAAUCUAUAGAGACCCUAAUCUCUGCCUUCAUCUUUUGCAUGUCCUUUCCUCUUCUUGUAAGGACACCAGCCAUUAGAUUUAGGACUCAUCUAAUCCAGUAUGACUUCAUAUUAAUGUAAUUAAUUAUACCUGUCAGGAUUAUUUCCGAAGAGGAUCCCACUCCAAGUUUCCAGGUAUACAUCAAUUUGGGGGGACACUAUUCAAUCCACUACUGAACUGAAUCCAAUCAUUGAACUUCCCUUACCCCCUCUCCUUUUCAAAAGCUCAGGACACUCAUUGGUCCCUUGAAAUAGAAGGUGGGAUUUUUGACAAAUAGAAGACAGGCUCCAGAGAAGUGAUCCAGUUGCAGAAAAAUCCCCUAAACCUGCACUUUGGUGGGAGUGGUCAGUAAUAAAUCUCACUCAUUAUGAUAAUGUUGAUAGGUUAUUAUGAGGAAGGCAAGAUGCAAUGGGAACCCAGAAGGCAGGACCUGAACACAGACUUGAAUGUGAGGCAUGGUUUCCUAACAGUUAAAAGGUCUCAGGUGAGAUCUGAAGAAUGAGCAGAAAAUACUCAGCUGAAGAUCUGGGUGAGAAAAGAGACACCAGGGAAGAGUGUUCCAGUGGGGGAGACACCUGGACAAAGACCCAGAAAAAAACAACUGUAGCAGCAUCCUUGUGCUCAGAUGUGGAAGUCCCAUGUUGAAGAGAGCAGAAAAAAACAACCCACCUGGGUGUCUGGAUGACUUCUUGAGGCAGAGAGUACUCUACUCACCCUAAACAGCCCACCCAUCUCUGGACUGUUAGAUGAGGUAGAUGGAAAUUUCUAUAACCUUGGAGCCACUAUAAUGACUCCAGGAAUCAUCCCCAUGUGGACCCUACUGAUAUAUAUUACAUCUGGUAUAGAUGCAGGUUUAUGUGCUCAUCCAGAAAAUAUAUCAUCCCCAUGUGGACCCUACUGAUAUAUAUUACAUCUGGUAUAGAUGCAGGCUUAUGUGCUCAUCCAGAAAAUAUAUCAAGCAUCUACUAGAUGCCACACACUACGGAUUUGGUGGUAUCGUUAUUUCUGAAAUGGGCAGUAUAUUGUUCUUUGUUUACAGUCCCUCUUGUGACACUAGGAAAGUGGGUUCAAUGUUAAGUCUUUUCAGCUCCAUACUGGGCCUUAGGACACUGGUUGUCUGCUCUAUGGCAGCUUCUUCAUCCCUAGGCUGCCCCCUUCAAUCCCCAGGAUAACUUCAUGGAACAGUUA